AUGGUACACGCUGCGAAGGGCAAA
rnacentral:siRNA from 1 species